rnacentral:misc_RNA from 1 species
AACGCACAUUGCGCCCCUUGGUAUUCCAUGGGGCAUGCCUGUUCGAGCGUCAUUUACCCCCUCAAGCUCUGCUUGGUGUUGGGCGUCUGUCCCGCCUUUUGCGCGCGGACUCGCCCCAAAAUCAUUGGCAGCGGUCGUGCCAGCCUCUCGCGCAGCAGUUUGCGCUCGGUGAGGUUCCAGGCGGAUCCGCGUCCACGAAGCCCACACCUCCAAUGUUUGACCUCGGAUCAGGUAGGGAUACCCGCUGAACUUAA